GGGGCUAUCAGGCUGGUAUCGUUGGCCGGUCCAAGGAGCUCUGUCCUUAUCAAUCGAUCGAUGCCCGGUCUAACUGGUUGGGAGGUUGGCGAGAGGCCAUGGAGGACAGGGCGGCGAUUGCCUGAUCGCACCUUGUCAAUCGAAAAAGGAACAACCUCCGCCGCGGCGGAGGUUUUCUUUUUCAGGGCGGAGCGCCGUCUAAUACAUACGCCGUCUAAUACAUACGCCGAUUGAUGCCCAUCAGGUCGAUAAUGCGGGCGGAGAUCUCUUCCACCGAAUAAUUAGUGGUAUUGAUGUAGCGGAUUUGAUGACGGCGGAAUAGCGAUUCCACCUCGCUCAGCUCCA
rnacentral:tmRNA from 1 species